UAUCGGUCAAACAACGAGUUAUAAGGUGCACUAAUUUAAUCUGCCGGUAUUUUGGCCCAUUCUCAUACAAUGGCUUUCUUCACAUGCCAUAUUUUUUGUCGUUAUCUUGCUCUCUAAAAUGACCCAAAUGGCAAAGUCCAUCGGUUUGGCAUCUAGCGAAUUGGACAGCCACAUUGUGGUAAAAAUGAAGUGUGGAAUAUGAUGAUUUCAUAGCAAUUCUUGGUUAACACGUCCCUUAUGUGAUGGUGGCGAGACUAGUUGGCUCGGUGGUCACAACUGCCAUACCAUCAUUUGGUAAUAGAAGUUAAAUAGAAUAGUUACAAACUAGAAGACAAGACGAUCAGUUGGCUUUGAGGUGUACUCUGAAGAUUUUGGACCGGUGAUAUCGAGAAGUUUACCCGACCACUAUAGUGUGCAUCAAGCGAUGAUCCUUGCAAUUAUAGAAGUUGUGGAAUGGCUAAGAUAUAAUGUCAUAACGAUGAUUGGCAUAAAUAUCAAUUUAGACACACAGACACCUGUUUUAACUGUCGCAGAUCUUCCAACGAGAUGUCCGAACAGUUUAAAAUUCACCUGGGUGCCGGGCCACAGAGAUAUCCCAGGGAAUUGUAGAGCAUACAAUACUUGUAGAGCAUAUCAUACUUCAAAAUUAUACCCCACAUUAUAAGGAGGGUUUGUGGGAAGCAAAAAAAAUUAUAAAAUAAAAUAUGUUAUUGGGUUUAAUAAUGCCACAGUCAACAAAUUGAAUUUAGUGCAGCAUUAACUAACAAUUAUUAAAUUGUACUUGGCCCGGAGCAUGUUAUUGUGAACUCAAAAAAUGGAAAUUGUAAACAUUAAAGUUAUAUUGAACUAAAAAUUUAAAUUUCUUUAACCUAUUAACGACGAAUGGGUUGAAAAGUACCCAAGAAUAAUGCUGUAUUAAAACAAAGAUUAAAAAAAAAUAAAUGCGCUGAAUUGUGAA
rnacentral:sRNA from 1 species